UAAGGAGUAUUACUGCACUUAACUUUCUUUGUGCUGUAUAAUAUAUUUCAGCUGGAAAAGACUGCUUGUCUAGAACCAUUUAUAAGUUUUAUUUUUAGUGUUUUCUUAGGGUCUGUUUGAUAAAUUAUGAAACCAAAUUUGCACGGUUGGAUUUCAAAAUUGUUGCGGCAAAUAGACCAUUAGUUUUGUGCAGUGUCUCACUGUGAAUUCUCACAUCUUGCCUUUGUAUUUGUUGUAUAUAUAUAACAGCUGAACAGCAACAAAAUUAUGACAAAGUCUACCCUAGUAUUUCCGUAGCUGAGGUCAUGCAGUGAUAGAAAAAUAUUUUCUGUCUUUCAGCUGAAGAAAACCCAACCAUAAGGCCUAAAGCAAGUGUUUAAGACAUCACGAGGAUUAGUUUCCUCAGUUAAGUAAUAAAAGACCAAAAAGCCAAAUUGAUACCUCUCUUGUGCUAGGUAAGGCUCAGUUUCACUAUACAACAGUGCAUUGUGUAGAUACAGACAGGAAGAGAAAACUGAAUUUCACUGACUCAGUUCAUUAAUUAUUUUAAAUGCUGAUCUGCAAGCAGUCUUGACUGGAUGACCCUGGGAAAUGCAUAUCUUGUCUGGUAAAAAGUAAGGAAUAUGCCAAGCAGCAAGACCUUAGAAAGAGAAUGAAGGUGAAUAACCUCAACAUUUUAGUUGGAGGUGGUGGGAAUUACAAAUGAAGGUAACUACUUUCCAUGUUGACCAGAUAGUGCCUCUGGUGAUCACUUAGCUUGGAUACCACAGCAGAAAACCUGGAAUGAGGCAGGACACCAUACUGGUAGGAGAUGAUGAGGAGCAGAAGUCGCCUAGCAUUAUGUUAGAGCUCCACACUCUUCCUCAGAGAAACUUCUCCUGGGAUGCUGUAUUGAAGGACUAGACAGAGAGAGAAGAAGCUUCUGGCAUCCUUUUUCUCCCCCUGCCUGGAGAGCAGGGGCUGCUGACAGGCAACAGAGAAGGAGCUCUCCCUGCUCUUCAAAAUGCUCUUCAGAGGGUAGAUCAUUCUUCUCAGGUCAAGUCAGGGAGAAAGAGAACAGACGGGGUAGCUUGCCCUUUCUUCUCCUUUUGCGGGCAGUUGGUUUGGUUGUAGCUACUCUGCUGACAUUCAGCAUUGCUGAAAUUUACUUCAGGGAAGCACACUUCAAGCACCACGUGCCCUUAUAAAACUUACUCUCAUUUCUGGGGGAAGAGUCAUUC
rnacentral:lncRNA from 1 species